rnacentral:rRNA from 1 species
AACGAACGCUGGCGGCAGGCCUAACACAUGCAAGUCGAGCGAGGACUUCGGUCCUAGCGGCGGACGGGUGAGUAACGCGUGGGAACGUGCCCUUUGCUUCGGAAUAGCCCUGGGAAACUGGGAGUAAUACCGGAUGAGCCCUUUGGGGGAAAGAUUUAUCGGCGAAGGAUCGGCCCGCGUUGGAUUAGGUAGUUGGUGGGGUAAUGGCCUACCAAGCCGACGAUCCAUAGCUGGUUUGAGAGGAUGAUCAGCCACACUGGGACUGAGACACGGCCCAGACCCCUACGGGGGGCAGGAGGGGGGAAUCUUAAAAAAGGGGGGAAACCCUGAUCUAGCCAUGCCGGGUGGGGGAGGAAGGCCUUGGGGUUGAAAAGCUCUUUCAGCGGGGAAGAAAAGAACGGAACCAGCAAAAGAAGCCCCGGCUAACUCCGU